UACGAAGGGGGCUAGCGUUGCUCGGAAUUACUGGGCGUAAAGCGCACGUAGGCGGCUUUCUAAGUCGGGGGUGAAAUCCUGGAGCUCAACUCCAGAACUGCCUUCGAUACUGGAGCUUGAGUCCGGGAGAGGUGAGUGGAACUGCGAGUGUAGAGGUGAAAUUCGUAGAUAUUCGCAAGAACACCAGUGGCGAAGGCGGCUCACUGGCCCGGUACUGACGCUGAGGUGCGAAAGCGUGGGGAGCAAACAGG
rnacentral:rRNA from 1 species